UAUSGGGUGCAAGGAUGAAGGCUUCAGGGUUGUAACGUGCUUUUAGUCCGGAAMGAAUAAKGUCUNCUGCUAAUACAAUGGGGCUCAUGACGGGUACCGUAAGAAUAAGCACCGGCUAACUACGUGCCAGCAGCCGCGGUAAUACGUAGGGUGCAAGCGUUAAUCGGAAUUACUGGGCGUAAAGCGUGCGCAGGCGGUUAUGCAAGACAGAUGUGAAAUCCCCGGGCUUAACCUGGGAACUGCAUUUGUGACUGCAUAGCUGGAGUACDWUAGAGGGGRAUGGAAUUCCGCGUGUAGCARGUGANAAUGCGUAGAUAUGCGGAGGAACACSGAUGGCGAAGGCAGUCCCCUGGACCUGUACUGACGCUCAUGCACGAAAGCGUGGGGAGCAAACVSSVUUA
rnacentral:rRNA from 1 species